rnacentral:rRNA from 1 species
UGAGGAAUAUUGGUCAAUGGGCUUACGCCUGAACCAGCCAAGUCGCGUGAGGGAAGACUGCCCUAUGGUUGUAAACCUCUUUUGUCAGGGAGCAAUUGGCGCUACGUGUAGCGUUAUCGAGAGUACCUGAAGAAAAAGCAUCGGCUAACUCCGUGCC